rnacentral:rRNA from 1 species
UUAAGCGACUAAGCGUACACGGUGGAUGCCCUGGCAGUCAGAGGCGAUGAAGGACGUGCUAAUCUGCGAUAAGCGUCGGUAAGGUGAUAUGAACCGUUAUAACCGGCGAUUUCCGAAUGGGGAAACCCAGUGUGAUUCGUCACACUAUCAUUAACUGAAUCCAUAGGUUAAUGAGGCGAACCGGGGGAACUGAAACAUCUAAGUACCCCGAGGAAAAGAAAUCAACCGAGAUUCCCCCAGUAGCGGCGAGCGAACGGGGAGCAGCCCAGAGCCUGAAUCAGUGUGUGUGUUAGUGGAAGCGUCUGGAAAGGCGCGCGAUACAGGGUGACAGCCCCGUACACAAAAAUGCACAUNCUGUGAGCUCGAUGAGUAGGGCGGGACACGUGGUAUCCUGUCUGAAUAUGGGGGGACCAUCCUCCAAGGCUAAAUACUCCUGACUGACCGAUAGUGAACCAGUACCGUGAGGGAAAGGCGAAAAGAACCCCGGCGAGGGGAGUGAAAAAGAACCUGAAACCGUGUACGUACAAGCAGUGGGAGCACAGAGCAAUCUGUGUGACUGCGUACCUUUUGUAUAAUGGGUCAGCGACUUAUAUUCUGUAGCAAGGUUAACCGAAUAGGGGAGCCGAAGGGAAACCGAGUCUUAACUGGGCGUUAAGUUGCAGGGUAUAGACCCGAAACCCGGUGAUCUAGCCAUGGGCAGGUUGAAGGUUGGGUAACACUAACUGGAGGACCGAACCGACUAAUGUUGAAAAAUUAGCGGAUGACUUGUGGCUGGGGGUGAAAGGCCAAUCAAACCGGGAGAUAGCUGGUUCUCCCCGAAAGCUAUUUAGGUAGCGCCUCGUGAAUUCAUCUCCGGGGGUAGAGCACUGUUUCGGCAAGGGGGUCAUCCCGACUUACCAACCCGAUGCAAACUGCGAAUACCGGAGAAUGUUAUCACGGGAGACACACGGCGGGUGCUAACGUCCGUCGUGAAGAGGGAAACAACCCAGACCGCCAGCUAAGGUCCCAAAGUCAUGGUUAAGUGGGAAACGAUGUGGGAAGGCCCAGACAGCCAGGAUGUUGGCUUAGAAGCAGCCAUCAUUUAAAGAAAGCGUAAUAGCUCACUGGUCGAGUCGGCCUGCGCGGAAGAUGUAACGGGGCUAAACCAUGCACCGAAGCUGCGGCAGCGACGCUUAUGCGUUGUUGGGUAGGGGAGCGUUCUGUAAGCCUGCGAAGGUGUGCUGUGAGGCAUGCUGGAGGUAUCAGAAGUGCGAAUGCUGACAUAAGUAACGAUAAAGCGGGUGAAAAGCCCGCUCGCCGGAAGACCAAGGGUUCCUGUCCAACGUUAAUCGGGGCAGGGUGAGUCGACCCCUAAGGCGAGGCCGAAAGGCGUAGUCGAUGGGAAACAGGUUAAUAUUCCUGUACUUGGUGUUACUGCGAAGGGGGGACGGAGAAGGCUAUGUUGGCCGGGCGACGGUUGUCCCGGUUUAAGCGUGUAGGCUGGUUUUCCAGGCAAAUCCGGAAAAUCAAGGCUGAGGCGUGAUGACGAGGCACUACGGUGCUGAAGCAACAAAUGCCCUGCUUCCAGGAAAAGCCUCUAAGCAUCAGGUAACAUCAAAUCGUACCCCAAACCGACACAGGUGGUCAGGUAGAGAAUACCAAGGCGCUUGAGAGAACUCGGGUGAAGGAACUAGGCAAAAUGGUGCCGUAACUUCGGGAGAAGGCACGCUGAUAUGUAGGUGAAGUCCCUCGCGGAUGGAGCUGAAAUCAGUCGAAGAUACCAGCUGGCUGCAACUGUUUAUUAAAAACACAGCACUGUGCAAACACGAAAGUGGACGUAUACGGUGUGACGCCUGCCCGGUGCCGGAAGGUUAAUUGAUGGGGUCAGCGCAAGCGAAGCUCUUGAUCGAAGCCCCGGUAAACGGCGGCCGUAACUAUAACGGUCCUAAGGUAGCGAAAUUCCUUGUCGGGUAAGUUCCGACCUGCACGAAUGGCGUAAUGAUGGCCAGGCUGUCUCCACCCGAGACUCAGUGAAAUUGAACUCGCUGUGAAGAUGCAGUGUACCCGCGGCAAGACGGAAAGACCCCGUGAACCUUUACUAUAGCUUGACACUGAACAUUGAGCCUUGAUGUGUAGGAUAGGUGGGAGGCUUUGAAGUGUGGACGCCAGUCUGCAUGGAGCCGACCUUGAAAUACCACCCUUUAAUGUUUGAUGUUCUAACGUUGACCCGUGAUCCGGGUUGCGGACAGUGUCUGGUGGGUAGUUUGACUGGGGCGGUCUCCUCCUAAAGAGUAACGGAGGAGCACGAAGGUUGGCUAAUCCUGGUCGGACAUCAGGAGGUUAGUGCAAUGGCAUAAGCCAGCUUGACUGCGAGCGUGACGGCGCGAGCAGGUGCGAAAGCAGGUCAUAGUGAUCCGGUGGUUCUGAAUGGAAGGGCCAUCGCUCAACGGAUAAAAGGUACUCCGGGGAUAACAGGCUGAUACCGCCCAAGAGUUCAUAUCGACGGCGGUGUUUGGCACCUCGAUGUCGGCUCAUCACAUCCUGGGGCUGAAGUAGGUCCCAAGGGUAUGGCUGUUCGCCAUUUAAAGUGGUACGCGAGCUGGGUUUAGAACGUCGUGAGACAGUUCGGUCCCUAUCUGCCGUGGGCGCUGGAGAACUGAGGGGGGCUGCUCCUAGUACGAGAGGACCGGAGUGGACGCAUCACUGGUGUUCGGGUUGUCAUGCCAAUGGCACUGCCCGGUAGCUAAAUGCGGAAGAGAUAAGUGCUGAAAGCAUCUAAGCACGAAACUUGCCCCGAGAUGAGUUCUCCCUGACUCCUUGAGAGUCCUGAAGGAACGUUGAAGACGACGACGUUGAUAGGCCGGGUGUGUAAGCGCAGCGAUGCGUUGAGCUAACCGGUACUAAUGAACCGUGAGGCUUAACCUU